rnacentral:rRNA from 1 species
GGGAUUGCCCUAGUAACGGCGAGUGAAGCGGCAACAGCUCAAAUUUGAAAUCUGGCGUCUUUGGCGUCCGAGUUGUAAUUUGCAGAGGGCGCUUUGGCAUUGGCAGCGGUCCAAGUUCCUUGGAACAGGACGUCACAGAGGGUGAGAAUCCCGUACGUGGUCGCUAGCCUUUACCGUGUAAAGCCCCUUCGACGAGUCGAGUUGUUUGGGAAUGCAGCUCUAAAUGGGAGGUAAAUUUCUUCUAAAGCUAAAUACUGGCCAGAGACCGAUAGCGCACAAGUAGAGUGAUCGAAAGAUGAAAAGCACUUUGGAAAGAGAGUUAAAAAGCACGUGAAAUUGUUGAAAGGGAAGCGCUUGCAGCCAGACUUGCCUGUAGUUGCUCAUCCGGGUUUUUACCCGGUGCACUCUUCUAUAGGCAGGCCAGCAUCAGUUUGGGCGGUUGGAUAAAGGUCUCUGUCACGUACCUCCUCUCGGGGAGAACUUAUAGGGGAGACGUAAUGCAACCAGCCUGGACUGAGGUCCGCGCAUCUGCUAGGAUGCUGGCGUAAUGGCUGUAAGCGGCCCGUCUUGAAACACGGACCAAGGAGUCUAACAUCUAUGCGAGUGUUUGGGUGUCAAGCCCGAGCGCGUAAUGAAAGUGAACGGAGGUGGGAACCUUUCGGGGUGCACCAUCGACCGAUCCUGAUGUCUUCGGAUGGAUUUGAGUAAGAGCAUAGCUGUUGGGACCCGAAAGAUGGUGAACUAUGCUUGAAUAGGGUGAAGCCAGAGGAAACUCUGGUGGAGGCUCGCAGCGGUUCUGACGUGCAAAUCGAUCGUCAAAUUUGGGCAUAGGGGCGAAAGACUAAUCGAACUAUCUAGUAGCUGGUUCCUGCCGAAGUUUCCCUCAGGAUAGCAGUAACGUUUUCAGUUUUAUGAGGUAAAGCGAAUGAUUAGAGGCCUGGGGGUUGAAACAACCUUCACCUAUUCUCAAACUUUAAAUAUGUAAGAAGUCCUUGUUACUUAAUUGAACGUGGACAGUUGAAUGUAUCGUUACUAGUGGGCCAUUUUUGGUAAGCAGAACUGGCGAUGCGGGAUGAACCGAACGCGGGGUUAAGGUGCCAGAAUAUACGCUCAUCAGACACCACAAAAGGUGUUAGUUCAUCUAGACAGCAGGACGGUGGCCAUGGAAGUCGGAAUCCGCUAAGGAGUGUGUAACAACUCACCUGCCGAAUGAACUAGCCCUGAAAAUGGAUGGCGCUCAAGCGUAUUACCCAUACCCCGCCGCUGGGGCAAGAUUUAAGCCCCAGCGAGUAGGCAGGCGUGGAGGUCCGUGAC